rnacentral:tRNA from 2 species
UGUAAGGAAGACUAAGG